GGGGACAACCAGCCGAAAGGUUGGCUAAUACCGCAUGAGUUCUACGGAAGAAAGAGGGGGACCCGCAAGGGCCUCUCGCGAGCGGAGCGGCCGAUGACUGAUUAGCCUGUUGGUGAGGUAACGGCUCACCAAAGCAACGAUCAGUAGCUGGUCUGAGAGGACGACCAGCCACACUGGGACUGAGACACGGCCCAGACUCCUACGGGAGGCAGCAGUGGGGAAUUUUGGACAAUGGGCGCAAGCCUGAUCCAGCUAUUCCGCGUGUGGGAUGAAGGCCCUCGGGUUGUAAACCACUUUUGUAGAGAACGAAAAGACACCUUUUAAAAAAGGGUGUUGCUGACGGUACUCUAAGAAUAAGCACCGGCUAACUACGUGCCAGCAGCCGCGGUAAUACGUAGGGUGCGAGCGUUAAUCGGAAUUACUGGGCGUAAAGGGUGCGCAGGCGGUUGAGUAAGACAGAUGUGAAAUCCCCGAGCUUAACUCGGGAAUGGCAUAUGUGACUGCUCGACUAGAGUGUGUCAGAGGGAGGUGGAAUUCCACGUGUAGCAGUGAAAUGCGUAGAUAUGUGGAAGAACACCGAUGGCGAAGGCAGCCUCCUGGGACAUAACUGACGCUCAGGCACGAAAGCGUGGGGAGCAGACAGGAUUAGAUACCCUGGUAGUCCACGCCCUAAACGAUGUA
rnacentral:rRNA from 1 species